CAGGGCACUGGGAAGGAGGGGAGCCCGGGCAGGGAGCGGAGAACUGAGUGUCCAGGGCUUCAGCCUCCUUCCCAGGGGAGAAGGGAGCGCAGUGUACCCACUGUGCCCCUGGGAAUUAGAAACCUGGUUCCUUAGCAGCUGUGGGGCCCCGGCCAGGCGCUGGCUUCUCUGGUGGGCACUUUCAGUGUGGGUGUCUUGGCUCCUCUCCUCCUCCCCACAGCCCUGGGAGGAAGCCACUUUUAUUAUCCCCGUUUCACAGAUGAGGAAACCGUGAGGCUCAGCCAUACGUGACUUGGUUAUGUCCAUGGAUCCGGCUGAGGGGCAGAGCUGGGAUCCAACCCUGGGUAGCUCCUGUCUGCUGAACUCCUGCAAUCAGUCAUGGCUCACAUUUAUGGAGCACUGCCUGUAUACCUUAGGAGCAACUGGUUUUGUUCCUGACCUCGUUGCAGCCUUGUGAUUCAGAGAACUGAAGCCGCUUGUCCGGGGCCACACAGCCAAUGGGACUUGGGAGUUCACAGUGAUAACUAGGAUGGGGUGAGGUCGCCCACAGCCCCUGCCUGCGGCCCAGGACACUGUCCUUCUUCUCCUCCUUGCGUAUCCGGGUCAGGCCAGCUUUCUGUCUGGGGACACUGAGGACAGAGGCAGCUGCUAGUCCUGCUCGCCCGGCCACCUAGUGACCAGUCAGCGAACACAUGUGGAGAGUGGUCAGGUGAGAACAGGGGCAGGCUCUGGGGAGGGGGGCCUCCAGGCAGAUGCUCUGGGAAAAGGAGAGGGGACGGGAAAUACCCACAACAAUCCUCAAGGCAGACAGCCUGGGGGAGGUGACAUCACUCUGCGUUCCUAAAACCAGGGCCCCGCAGGCAGAAGCAACAGCGGAAGCCACACAGGUAGGCAGGGAGGGAGUGGCCGGCCUAGAAAGGGGCCUGUCAGUUGCCUAUCCGCUCCUGCAGGAAGAGUGGACAUUUCCUCUCGUCCCCUGGGGGAAUUCCAGCCCCAGGCCCUCUACACAGGGGCACUCACUUGACCCCUGAGCCCCAUCCCCAGCCCUAUUUUGCAUUGUAUUUAGAGACAGGGUCUCCCUGAGUUGCUCAGGGCCUCGCUGUUGCUGAGGCUGGCUUGGAACUCGGGAUCCUCCUGCCUCGGCCUCCUGAGCACCCUCUCUGGGCCCCUUCCCAUGCUGUGCGCCCUCCUCCCUGGCUUCUAAUAAACCAGCUCCUGAGUCCUCACCCUCUGCCGCCUGCAGACCCCAUUCUCCUGGUGCCUGAGACAAGAACCCUCCAGGGUUCAGGGGACCCUGAGUUACAACACUACAGGAAUCUCCGGUGCUCUCCAGGGCGGGACCCUUGGUGUCCUGUUCAGGGUGGCAUCAUCCCCAUGGCCUGGGACACUACAGGAGCCACAGACCCUGGCUGAGUGGACAGUGUCCUGUGUGUCAGAUCAGUCGGGGCAGGCAAUGGCCAAAGGAGGCAGGUUUAAAAGGGCCGCUGAACAGGCUUUAUGGAGAUAUCACUCCCCGGCGGAACUCGAUCAGACCCCCAGAGGGGACAGGGGAAGGGUCUGAGGAGAAACCAAGUGGAAGCUCGACAGGACUGGACUUUUAUGGGGCUUACAGCAGGAAGGGAAGGGCUUGGGACAGGAAAAGGUGUCUCUAGGGUCACUUGCCCCCUUGGAGUCGGUCAGGGGAGUUGGCUGAACUCCAGGAUUGGCCAGGGGGGUCCUGCUGAUUGACAGGCGUUAGUCAGGAGAUCUGGCUGAUGGACAGGCGUUUCCGCCGGCAUCUGAUUGAUGCAAAGCGCAGGCUGCUUUGUUCUAAGUCGCCACCAAGUCGCCGCCACUGACCUAACAUUGUGAGUGGCAGAAUCUGGACCCCACAGCCCCCGUGGCCACCUCUCUGGACAAUGAACUCGACUGUCGGGGCAGACAGUCCUGGGGGCUACGCAGUCUGGCCUCAUUCAUCUUCCUGGUUUGGCCUCUGGACCCUGAUCUGCCUGAAUUUCAAGCCCGGGCUGAGUAAACAGAAUAAAAUAAACACCCUGCAGUCCCCUCGGGGACCAGCCCGUGCCCCAGCGGCGUCCUGUGAAGGCUGGACUGGGUUGUGGAGGCCUAACUUCCUCCUAUUAUUGUCUCCAAAAUUCCUUCCCAGGACCUCGGCUCCUGAGCACCUCUACAAAUAACCAUCAAAGAGCAGCAAUGUCGCAAUAGCUCAGCCUGUGUCACAGGGCUGGGACCUGCGGGUCACCGAGGCAGCGUGAAGACACUCCCACCCCAAACCCUGAGUCUUGUGAUCAAGUCAGAAAGAUUUCAGGCCCAUGGCUCAGAGGAAUAGGCACGAGUUUAUUGAAGGGAUAGAAAAGGAGAAAGGGGACACUCUCAAGGGAAAGGGUGGGUCCCCUCAGAGAGGAGAGGGACAGUGUGCCCCUCCUGCACUCCAGUUUCACUGGGGGAAUCCCAGAGAAGUUUCUAGAAAGUCCUGCCCAGGUCCAUCUCUUGACUUUUGAUGAACAGCAGGAUGACAUCCAUCAGGUCCCCUCUGCCGUGAUAACUCUAGGUCCCUUCGGCCCAUCAUGACCCGGUCGAAUUAGAACUUGUCCCUACAGAUCUUAAGGUGGGUGGGGAUGAUCUUUACCUCCCUGGGUUCUGGGAUCUGGUCUGUGUGAAGGUCACAAAAGUCCCCUCCUUCAAGGUAGCCUGGGAUCUUCUUAUUGGCCUUUGGGCUACAUGGCCCCCUGCUGAUGGCAGGUUGGUGGCUGAGGAAUGGACCAUGUCCUGUGGGCCUAAGCCAGGCAGGGCUACAGGUAAGUCGCUUUGUAGAAAAGAAAGCAGGUCGGGCUCAGUACAGUGGGCCCAGUUUAUAGAAUUAUGUUCCUUAACUUCACGUUCCUGCCGCUUGAGCCCCUCAGUUCCCUACAGGUAUCAAAGUCAUUUAAUCCUCACCCAGAUUGCUCCAAGGUAGAUGUCAUUAUCCCCAUUUAGAGAUGACAAUAGCAAGGAUCAGAGAGGUUAAACAACUUAUCCUGCGUCACACAGCUACCAAUUCUUAACCACUCUAGGUUCCUUGAAUAGCACAGUGACCCUCCAGUGUUGGGGACCUAAUCAGCCCACCUCCUCCCCCACCCUCUCACUGGGACUCCUUUUCUGGAACCUUCUGCCAGACUUUCUCAGUAGAACUAACGACACCAGGAGCACAUUGACCUCUGGGGCUGCCUGGGAUGAGCCUUGUCCCUGUCCUAGCUGGGGUGGGCACUCGGCAGGCUCUGGGGAGCUCCUCUCUCCUGUGGGCACCCGAGGACAAGAGGCCGGGGCUCAGCUGUAGGGGAGAAGAUCACCCUACCCUCCUGUCACCAAGGAUGGCUGCCACCGCCCAGGGCUUUCGCGGGCUCUGAGCAUCCCUCCUGAGACCCCUUUCACCUCUGCUUCCAGGGACGAGAGUUGGGAAAGUGAUAGUGUGGGCAUUUCGUGCUUAGGGAAGACUAAACCGUGGAGGGUAGGAACCUGAACACAUCUGGGUUUGAGUCCUGUUUACUGUGCUGCUCUGGGAGAGUGACUUCACCUCUCUGAACUUCUGUCAUGUCCUUUGCAAAGCAGAUAUGGUUAUAAUACCCCUAAUUGUUUGGAUAGAAGUCCCCCGAAGGCCUCUAUGUUAAGGGUUGGUCCCUGUCUGUGGCACUGUUGGGAGAUGGUGGAGACUUGGGGAGGCGGGGCCUACUGGAAGGAAUGUAGGUCACUGGCUCCUUCCUGACUCUCUCUUGGCUGCCAUGAUAUGAUAACUUCCUCAGCUAGGUGCUCCCCACCGUGAUGUCUCACUCAUCCUAGGCCCAAAGGCAACCGGGCUGUGGGGCAAGGAGAGGGCAAACAACCACGGACUGAAACUUCUGAGGCCAUGAGCCACAUCAACCUUUCUUCCUUAUACGUUGUUUCCAUCAGGCGUUUUGUCAUAGCAACGGAAAACUCCUAACACAGAACCUAUGCCCCCGAGUAACUCCUAGCACAGAUAGUGAGGGGGACGUGGCCAGACCACAUAGGGCCUGGUGGGUCCGUCAGGAGGGAGAUUUGCCCUGGGCACACUGGAGGUCCACCGUGUUCUUUGGAGAAGGAUGGGUGCACCAUGAAGACAGGGAGCUGGCUGGUGCUCAUGGCGAGGGUACUGUGGGGCCAGGCUCCGGGGAAGCCAGCCGGGAGGUGUUUCCAGAGGUCCAGGUGAAAGGGCCACCUAUGGGGCUGUGGACCUGGGGGACUACAGAAGCAGAGUGUGCGGACGGGGCAGUUGGACGGGAGAGGAGCAGAGGGGCCGGUGUGUUCCUGCCUUCAGCCUCUACAUGUCCUCUGGGGUCUCACCCAACGCACACCGAGAGGCCAGAGAUGAAGAGCAGGAAGCCACAGGUCUUGCUUCCCCGAGUCUGUGACAGUCAAGGUCACAGCGGAGUGACUCCAUGUCCCGAGGGUUUCCUGAAGGACGCGGGCUCCCUGCCUGUCCCCCGCUUCUCACCUUCUGCUGGCUGAAGUUCCUCGUGGCUCCGGCCCCCCCGCUGAGUCCUUCUCACCUCUCAUUGUCUGUGUCUUCCCCUCCGUUGGCAGGGACGCUGCCUGAGGGUGGAGGGUGGAGCCUUGGGGGAUGGUUGGUGGCUGUGCCACCUGGACCUAGUACAGUACCUGACAUAUAGUUUGUGGAUUUUUAUAGAAUUUUUUAAACACCAGUGUUGUUCACCAAACAUUUCUGCUUUCUCCUUCCUCCACUCUGGACACAAGUAGGGGUAGCACUACACUUCCUGAGGCCACCGUGGUUGGGAGAAGCCUUGUAGUGAGGGACCAAUAAGUUGUCACUCCCAGUUCAAAGCAUUAAUAGGCCAUGGGAAACCCCUGGAUCCACCCAGCCUGAACCCUGUGGGGGGCAUUUGUCUUUCCCUCUGCACCAGGAUGACUAGCAUCUUAGUUACCCACAUACUGAUUACCCUGCUGCUCACAAUGGACGCCAAUGAGAGAGAAACCUUUGUUGUUUUAGAACAUUGUGAUUUUUGGACUUCUUUUUUACUGAAGCACAACCUAACUGAUUCUUCCUAAUUGGGUCUCCUUGGCAUUGCUCUGUGGAAAAGACUUUCAGUGCCAGUGUCACUCUGAGGGUAAAGCAUUCGUCUCCUUGGCUGCCAAAAGCUUGACUGGGAGACUAGUCUGUGCUCUUCUCAGCUGGGGACAUACAUAACACCUGCCACCAUGAGCCCCUUAUGCGGAGGGAGGUUGAUAGUUCUUUGGGAGGGGGGAGCUGGGAGGUCUACGACCUUGAGGGCCCCUCUCUUGGAUUCUUCUAAGGUCGAAGCAGGAGCUGGUUUGGCAAGAGGAGGAGCUGGGGAGGAUGCGUAGAGAUGGAAAGGAGUUACUUGAACAAGAUAGCUCCUUUUAAAACUGUCUUCACCGUCACCUUGAAUAUGAGUUAGAAUUAGCCUCAGCUGUGAACAACAAGGUUAAGUAGCCACAAGGAAAGUGAAGUUUAUUUAUCCCUAAUGUUGAAGUCCAGAGAUAUUGUAUCCACUGUAGGUCUGAUGCCCCUGCCCCACAAAGCCCUGUAGGACCAGCCUAACACUCUACCUAUAUUAUAUGAGCUCCAUUUGCAGUGCCACCUGGUGAAUUAGGGAGUUACUUGAGUUCCAGCCAUCUCAUCUGCAUUCCAGCCAGCAAAAGAGUAGCAAGGAAUGAAGAUGAAAGAGCACAUGACCACUCUCUUUUAUAGAACUCUGUGGGAGUUAGCAGGUCCAAAUUCUCAUUGGCUAAAAUGAGUUACAUGGCCAGAGCUGGCUGCAGAGAAUGCUGGGAAAUGUAGUCUUUAUUGUGGGUGGCUAGGAACCUAGUUGAAAAAUGGGGAAUUUAUUAGCACGGCUGAGAAGGGAAAGGAUACCGAGAGGGAACUUAAAAACUCUGCAAUCUCCUAAGACAGCGAGGACAGAUCAACUUAAAUUUCCUAAAGGUUUAAGUUAAAUUCCUUUGGAAAACUGAUGAGGAAUCUGUACUCCUCUGUCCCAAAUGCUGAUGGUAAUUAUUCCCUGCAAAACUGUGGGAUUUCAAACAAUUCACUGACCCUAUGAAGCUCAGCCGGGGAGGUGUGUAUGCAUGUGUGUGCGUGUGUGUGUGUACACCUAGUUCAAACCCCGUUUCCAUUUGGCACUGCGCCUCUAUCUGAUGUGCUUGGGGUUGUUUAUUUGGGGUGUAGAUCUGAGAGUCACUUGUCAAAGGGACCCAGCGUGACACCCUGAGAAAGCACCUGACCCGUUUCCAUGGCGAAGGAAAAACUGCCCUGCGUCACCUGGCUGUAGGUUGGCUGCAGCGACAGAGCGGGUCAGGGCCCACGUUCCAGGUGGGGAGUGGACCGGUGGGUGGAUCCCACCUGGGUGGACAGGGAUGACCAGUACCCCUGGUCUCUGCACUGACGAUCUGAGGGUGGAAGACGUUGACGACAUGUCAGGGGGAGACGGCCAAGUUUCCUGGUGGCUCUGGAUUCCUCUGAGCGGGUGAAACUCUGGAGGGCGGAGGCAGGAGUUGCCCUCACUUGAGGAUGGGGUGUUCCAGGUGGUGAACGACAGCAGGACCGACCGUUGGACCUUUUGCCAAGGUGACCUGGAAUCCUCCCAGAAAUUCACCAUGAGCUCGCCCAGGCAACAGAGCCACCUGCCUCCCUUCAUCAUCUUCACGGCAAUCUUACAAGAUGGAUGCUUUUAUUGCCUCUGUUGGAAAGUAAGGAACUUGAAGCUCAGAGAGGCUGAGUCACUGACACAUAGACACACAGCCAGGCAGUAGCAGAGUCAGGCUCACCUCCGGGUCUUUCUGAUCCCCCCAAAUCCUUGGGUUCAGUCACUCUUUUUUUUAAAAAUAACGGCACUUUCUAAUUCCGGAGUUGGUUCCCCCAAUAAAUAAAUAAAUACAUAAUGAACCGGCUCAACAAUGAAUGAGUGGUAGAAGGAAGCCGAGCUGGCAGUCCUGGGCAGAUGCAGUCACUUGAUGACCAGCUGCAUGCCAGCGCUCUCUGCUGAGCGGUGGGGACGAAUGAGGCCAAGAAGGCCCUGUCCUGGAGAUGGCACUAAACAAGUAAACAAACUAUCACAGAAGGAACACCCAGGGUGGGCGGGGAGGGCACCUGAGGGGUGGGGGGGGUGGCCUCUGAGAAGUGCUCCCUCUCUCUUCUUUCCUAAGCCCCUUGGCCAGCUCCUCCCCAGGGCCCAGGGUCAGCCUAGAGGUCAGGUUUUUCUGUGACACCUUUCUUGACGUUCCGCGGCCCUUUUGGGUGGAUUUACCCGCGUCCUAGCAUCCAGCGUGCACCCCAGGACCCCUGUCUCUGCCUCGCUGUCUGCCUCUGCACCAUGGGCAUUAAAAAGGCAUCUAUGGCCUGGUAUGGUGGUUCUCACGCCUGUCAUCCCAGCAACUGGGGGUGAAGGCUGAGGCAGGAGGAUUGCGAGUUCAAAGCCAGCCUCAGCAACUUAGCAAGGCGCUAAGCAACUCAGUGAGACCCUGUCUCUAAAUAAAAUACAGAAUAGGGCUGGGGAUGGGGCUCAGUGGUCGAGUGCCCCUGAGUUCAAUCCCUGGUAGAAAAAAAAAUAUGUGAGGCCCUUGGAAGUGUGCCUGGCAGGUAUGUAAGGGUGGCCUUAGGCCUGAUUCUAAGCAACUCCAUUUUAAAACGCUGCUUUGAAACCUGCAGCCUCACCAGGCCACCCCUACGGAGCCCUCCAAUAUGGCCAUCAGGCAUGGCCCUGACAUAAAUAAGCCACUUCUCCCCAUCCCGACAAACUCAGAGUAAAGUCUCUGUCAUGUUGCCCUCGCCACCAUAAGUGGGAGAGGCAAGAAAUCAGGAUGGGGACCCCCAGACCAGAUGCUUUAACCUCAGGGUGAAUGACGUCACUGAGAAAUCUGGUGGCAGCUGAUUGGGAUUUUGAAAGGCUGGUCAGAAACCCCAGAAUUUAGUAUAAAUGAUGGAGAAAGCAAACAGACAUUCAGCCAGCCCACACUGAUGCCCUCAGGCUGGAGAGCCUGAUGGGGACCUGGACUGACACCCCCACUCUUCUCAUCUGCCUGAUCCUCUGCGUUGCUCUCUCUGCUCUUGAACUCUACAGCAGCCUCUGGACUCUGGGGAGAAAAGGACUUCUCCCUACAACCCUCUCCUCAGCCGGCCAUCAGCUCCACCCCGGGAGAAGCCUGCCUGGGGCCCUGACCUGACCACCGGGGUCUGAGUGAGUGGGCAUCUGCUGGACUCAGAGCCUAAGGCUUGAGACUUUAGAUCUGACACUUGAGCUCAGCAUGCAGAGGGAAUGUCUGUCACGGGCCUGUCAUGAUUAAGUGUGUUUGCAGUGCUUAGAACUAAUCUAGAAAUGUUUGUUGUGGUUGGAUUCUGUCGAUGGCAGUGCCCAGCAUUAAGGAUUGUCACUUUCUUGAUUCAGAACCUAUAGAGUGGAAUUGUAUUGAGCGAUUUGAGUGAAUAAAGCAUUGAAAAGGGCAGAA
rnacentral:lncRNA from 1 species